rnacentral:tmRNA from 1 species
UAUACUAGAUUUUUAAAUAAGAAAUAUUAUAAUUUUUUCGUGCUCGUUAAAAGGUACUAUGGCAAUAAACGCAGCUUGUAAUAAGCUUUACGGACCCGGGGGCGGUACCCGGCGUCUCCACCAAUAAACUAACUCUUUUGUUAGAAGUUUAUGGGGACGAAAUUAGUAUCGACGUGAGUAGUAAAGGAUUUGUUUUUGCUUAGGAGUGACAUCCUGGACUUCGGUCAAAAUGUUUUAAUAAAUGCAAAUGAUAAUUAUGCAUAUGCACAAGCGGCUAAUUCAAAUUACCCGUUUGAUGCAGUAGCUGCCGCUUAAUUAUAAAAGGCAAUUGUCUUUAAAUUGAGCUAACGCUAAUGGGGUUUUGAGGGUUUCCUAGCAACAGAAAAUCCUCGCU